rnacentral:rRNA from 1 species
GAGUUUGAUCCUGGCUCAGAACUAACGCUGGUGGCGUGUCUUAGUCAUGCAAGUCGAACGAGAAAGUACCCUUCGGGGUGCGAGUAAAGUGGCGAACGGGUGAGUAACACGUGGGUAACCUACCUUUGAGUGGGGGACAACCCCUCUAACGAGGGGCUAAUACCGCAUAAUGCAGCGGCUCCGCAUGGAGACAGUUGUUAAAGGGGCAGCUUCGGUUGUCUCGCUUGAAGAUGGACCCGCGGUCCAUUAGCUUGUUGGUGAGGUAACGGCUCACCAAGGCAACGAUGGAUAGCCGGCCUGAGAGGGUGAACGGCCACACUGGAACUGAGAAAGGUCCAGUCCCCUACGGGGGCCAGCAGUCUAGAAAUUUGCGCAAUGGGCGAAAGCCUGACGCAGCGACGCCACGUGGAGGAUGAAGCCCUUAGGGGUGUAAACUCCUGUCAGAAGGGAAGAAUGCAGGAAAUAACUUUUCCUGUUUGACGGUACCUUCAGAGGAAGCCCCGGCUAACUUCGUGCCAGCAGCCGCGGUAAUACGAAGGGGGCAAGCGUUGUUCGGAUU